rnacentral:lncRNA from 1 species
CCGUGGAGUAAACACACCAUGCCAACAUGUCUGUCAGUUUCACACAACAUGACAGUGACUCUAGUCCUGACAUUUUUUACAUCCUAAAACUCAUUAUUCACCAUGUUAUGGAUAGGGUAUGCAUUCUGAAGAAUAAAAGCUGUAUAUAAGAAGGAACGGUGGAUACACUUGAGCAGAUAAGAGAAUAUGGAAGUGCUCAGAGAGCAUGUCAAUACAAACCCAAACAUAAACCAGACUGAUUCUUCAUUUUAACCAGAUUCACUCCCUGUAAGUUCACCAAUUAGUUACUUUCCAUGGGAGCAUGGAAGUGGAACUACAUCCAUCUUACUUAGAUCUUCAGUGUAUCAGCAAUUCUUGUUCCCCGGCCUCCAGCGUAAUGUUCAUGGUGCAACACUAACAAGUCCUUGGCCUUCAUUUUCCUUGUACCGUGCCGGUUGCUCCUCACUUAACAGAUGAGCUAUCGGCCCAAUCUCUUGCUCGG